rnacentral:rRNA from 1 species
GGUUUAAUUCGAAGCAACGCGAAGAACCUUACCAGGUCUUGACAUCCUUUGACCACUCUAGAGAUAGAGCUUCCCCUUCGGGGGCAAAGUGACAGGUGGUGCAUGGUUGUCGUCAGCUCGUGUCGUGAGAUGUUGGGUUAAGUCCCGCAACGAGCGCAACCCUUAUUGUUAGUUGCCAUCAUUCAGUUGGGCACUCUAGCAAGACUGCCGGUGACAAACCGGAGGAAGGUGGGGAUGACGUCAAAUCAUCAUGCCCCUUAUGACCUGGGCUACACACGUGCUACAAUGGGAAGUACAACGAGUUGCGAAGUCGCGAGGCUAAGCUAAUCUCUUAAAGCUUCUCUCAGUUCGGAUUGCAGGCUGCAACUCGCCUGCAUGAAGCCGGAAUCGCUAGUAAUCGCGGAUCAGCACGCCGCGGUGAAUACGUUCCCGGGCCUUGUACACACCGCCCGUCACACCACGAGAGUUUGUAACACCCGAAGUCGGUGAGGUAACCUUUUGGAGCCAGCCGCCUAAGGUGGGAUAGAUGAUUGGGGUGAAGUCGUAACAAGGUAGCCGUA